CAAGAACAAAACCAGUUUUCUGAUAAUGUGGAGAAGACCCGAGGAAUGGGGGAAGCUCAUCUAUCAGUGGGUGAGAACGCAGCAGCUGCCCUAGUGCACAACCUGGGCGCUCCCAGCCGGGAGGACAGGUGUCAAAGAAUGGCUUGACCAACUCUGUGUUCACACUGUAUGAGUUGAUCAGUGGAGAUGAUACAGCAAAUGAAGAGUUCCAUGGUUUGGAUGAGGC